GAUGAACGCUGGCGGCGUGCCUAAUACAUGCAAGUCGAGCGAACAGACGAGGAGCUUGCUCCUCUGACGUUAGCGGCGGACGGGUGAGUAACACGUGGAUAACCUACCUAUAAGACUGGGAUAACUUCGGGAAACCGGAGCUAAUACCGGAUAAUAUAUUGAACCGCAUGGUUCAAUAGUGAAAUACGGUUUUUCUGUCACUUAUAGAUGGAUCCGCGCCGCAUUAGCUAGUUGGUAAGGUAACGGCUUACCAAGGCAACGAUGCGUAGCCGACCUGAGAGGGUGAUCGGCCACCCUGGAACUGAGACACGGUCCAGACUCCUACGGGAGGCAGCAGUAGGGAAUCUGCCGCAAUGGGCGAAAGCCUGACGGAGCAACGCCGCGUGAGUGAUGACGGUCUUCGGAUCGUAAAACUCUGUUAUUAGGGAAGAACAAAUGUGUAAGUAACUAUGCACGUCUUGACGGUACCUAAUCAGAAAGCCACGGCUAACUACGUG
rnacentral:rRNA from 1 species